AAAUUGGGUUUUUUUAAAAAUUUUAUCCUUAUUCUUUUUGCAUGAUUAGUGCUACAAUUUUUGUAUUGGCAUCAAUAUUAGUUGCAAGAACUUGUUCACCAUCAACAAUUUUUAUUUGCUGGCACUUUUGCAUUGUCAUAAUAUUUUUAUACUUGAGACAUGACGAAACAAAUCUAUUUUUUUCAAGAAGGCCUAAUUUGGUACACUGUCCCAGACUGUAAUUGAUUGUUGUAUUACCUUUUGCAUUUAGGUCCUCUGCUAAAUGUGUUUAUUUUUUGCAAGAAGAGGCUUGGACUCUCUUUAAACAUUCUUCAAAUUUAUUAAAGUGUCAGACACAAUUUCAGGGCUAUUUGUUUAUUUGUGUUGGCACAAAGUUGUAAGGUGAUGCUUUACCUCUAGCUGUAGAAGCAACCUAGUAACGUAUCCCUGCUUCCGUGACCUUGGUUGUGAACAGGGGUAAGUUACUCAACACUGAAACAAAGAAAAUCUGUUGAGCUACAGUGACAGUGAGUGGGUUGGGAGGCUUUGACUGUAAUGGACAGAGACAAAUUCAGUCAUUUUGAACUUUACCAUCCAUAUGAAUCAGUGACAUCUAAUACUUAAUGAAUCAGUGACAUCUAAUGCUUACUAAUUACAGUGUCUGUAGUGGUCUUAAAAAGGUUAGUGUCUUCAAGACACGCCUAGUGGUUCCUUGUAAGAAUUUGCACUUGAGAAUGACAACCUUCUAAAUAAAAAGGGCAAAGCAUCUUUUAUAUGGCUUCGAACAAAGUGGAUGAAAAAUAGCUUGAAUAUUUGACUGACAGUGGCAUCUCCAAAUCACAUAGUAUGUAACACACCUAAAAACUAUAUGCUUGUCAGUUUCCACCUCUUUUAAUUUAGUACAUUCUUUGGCAAAACUUUAGCCCCACAACCCUUUGUGUGUCGUCAAAAUUAUCCACCCCACUCAAUUGUUUUGUUUUUCAUGAACUUUUCAGCUAGCUGUCUUUUCUUUUCAUUCCUCACCCAAGUUUCAUGAAGCUAUCUCACAGGAUUGUUUGAGCAACCAGAAAGAAAUCGAUCGAUAUAUGUGGCACCCAUGCACAAUGGACUGUUCUCAAAACACAGUUUUUAGUCAACAAGGAAAGUAGAUGUUACUUACUCUGAAUGAAAGCAACACUUAAGUUCUUCUAUUCAAUGGAAGAAAUAGAGUCUAAAGCGCAGCCUCUAAAGGAAAUGGCUUUGAUUAAGGUUAUGGGAUCUCUCCCAUGCCCAAACGCUCUCAGAUUACAUAACAUCAAAUGCGUAUAUGCUGAAUUUGAACUCCUCAAUAUUAUGAACCCUAGUUCCAAUCACAAAACCCUAGAUUUACAACAAAAUUCAACAACACAUCAAAUGAAGAAUCAUCGAACAUGCAAAAUCAUAAAAUAAUUCAAAUGAUACCAUUGCACAUUCAAAUGGGUUUGAUCUUCAUUGUUCUCCUAUCUCCAUUGAUCUCGCUUUGAUAUGGUUGCUCUCAGAUUUUUAUGCUUGCACAAGAGCUCAAUGGCAAAUGGAUGUGGUUGUGAUGAUGUUGCUUGAUGUAGGCUAAAGCCAAUUCUGUAGAAUUGAAGUAUGCUCCAAGGUUGAUUGAUUGGAAAGAGAGGGGAAGAAGCCUCUUAUAUAGAGAGCAUCUUAAAAAUGGAGGGAUAAAAUUAAGUGGUGGGAUAAAAGAUGGUUGGCUAAGAUUGAAGGGUAGGUAGAGGGAAUAAUAAAAUAAAGGGAGUGGUUAAGAUAAAUGAGGAGAAAAAGCUAAAUGAAUUAAUUAAAUAAAUUAAAGAAUUUAUUUAAUUAAUAGGAGGAGGGCCACAUAAAUUAAAUAAAUAGAAUAUUUAUUUAAUUUGGGAAAAUAGAGAAUUAAAAUGAAUAAAAAUAUUUAUUUAAAUUAGGAUAGAAAAAGGGCUAGAAAAGGAUAAAUGAAUUAAUUAAACAAAUAUAAAUUCAUUUAAUUAAUAGAAGAAAAGGGAAUAAUUAAAUAAAUAAUAAUAUUUAUUUAAUUAGGCUAGGAGAAUUUUAAGUGUCUACAAUAGGCAUUGCAGAUAUUCAAACUGUAAAAGUAUAAGCAAUUUUCAAUUUGAAAACAAGUUAUAUAUGAAAUACAAUAUAGUGUAUUUAUUUCUUUUAUUCACAAUGUAAUAUGUCUGAUUGUUAUUUCCUGCAAAUGGAGAAAGAACAUUAAUUGAUUCCGAUGUCCUUCUCCGAGCAAAUGAAUCGGGUUAUAUAAGAUAAUGGGGAAGACCAAGAGUUGCUUUGGUCAGUUAUGUCCUUUGGACAUAACCAAUCAAGAUAACCCUUGAUUGCAUCCUAUCAUUACCCAACCGACAUGAUGCUAAUUAACCCGAUAUAAAUCGGUGCCUUUACGUGAUUCAUAUUAACUGAUUGUUAUCAGUGUAAAUGCAUAACCCGAUAAUAUGUAUCGGUAACUAAAGCAUCCUUAACCGAUUCCCAAUCGGUGGCAAUUAAACAACCCUGAUAUAUUAAUUGGUGCAUUACUAAUCACAUCCAAUAAUAUAUCGGUGGCAUCUUUAUUAAGUGCAAAUAGAUAGUUAUGAAGGAGUUCGAUAGAUCAUGAUAUAUCAAUAUAUAUUAAUAUACAUAUGAAGUAAUUAUUAUUACUUCAUAUAUAUAUAUUCAUACAUAUUCAUACAUCUUCAAGAUCGAACAUAUAUAUAUAUCUGCAUUAAUGCUAUUUGAUGAAAAGGGGUUUGUAUCAGUUUUAUCUGACCGAUGCUAUUUGUAUCAACACUCCCUCUUAGCUAGGGAAGAUAAAGUCAUAAUGUCUAGCAUCUUAUUUCUCAUGAUGGUCAGGAUUCCUUAUGGAGUCUUAUAAUCUCACUCUUCAUAGGAUCAUAUGAAGUAUCACCUAAACACGUGAUACAAGAGGUUCAUCAUUUUGAGAUGACAUGAUAUCACCUAAUCACGUGAUAUCAGUAUUGCCUAAACACGCAAUACUUAAGGAUAAACAUAUGAAAAUAGUUAAAUCUUCAACUUAUCCAAGUUGUGGUAAGUGCACUAACAUUUCAUUCAAAUGUUAUACCACAACACAAUCAUGGCACAUCCAUGACAUACCAGAGAUCCAACAUGAUAACUGGUUUGAACAUUAUAAGAUCGUCACCUUACAAUGUCUACAUACAAGUGUUCAUUGUCUGAGAGAUCGUCACCUCUUGGAUAUGAACACAGGGGGUUAAACCUAUAAAAGUCCUAUCAUGACAAAGAAGUUUACACAUUAAACAUCUUAUUGAUAUGCAAGUACAAAUUACAACAAAUUACCUUUCUAUCAUACCUAAACCUUUUCUGAAGUGAUCAACCUUCACUCUGGAAAGUGGUUUGGUCAGAAUAUCUGCAGUCUGAUCUCCUGUACUAACAUAUUUCAAUUUGAUCACAUUUUUGUCUACCAUGUCUCGCACAUAAUGGUAUGGAAUCUCAAUAUGCUUGGAUCUGUCAUGAAAUACUGGAUUUAUAGAAAGCUUUAUGCAGCUCUGGUUGUCACAAUGGAUGACAGUGGGUUUCAUGGGUUCACCAAAUAAUCCCACAAGCAACUUCCUAAGCCAUAUUGCCUCUCGAGCAGCCAUGGAAGCUGCAAUGUACUCGGCCUCGGUGGAACUUUGAGCUACAGAAGACUGUUUUUUGCUGAUCCAAGAUAUCAUGGCUGAACCUAAACUGAAGCAACACCCUGAAGUGCUUUUCCUGUCAGUCACACUCCCAGCCCAAUCUGAGUCUGUAAAUCCGUGUAGGUCUAGAUCAACUUUCUCAUAUUUGAGACCAAGGUUUAGAGUACCUUGCAAGUAUCUCAUAAUGUGUUUCACUGCAAUCAAGUGGAUUUCCUUAGGCUCACACAUAAACUGACUUAAGGCAUUGACCGCAUAACAGAUAUUUGGCCUUGUAUUCACUAGAUACAUCAGGGACCCAAUCAUCUGUCUGUAUAGAGUAGGAUCAGUGGAUUGUGACUCUGUUGCUGCUUCCUUAAGUUUAUGUAAAUUUGUUUCCAUGGGAGAGGUCAUAGGUCUGCAAUUAUGCAUUCCGAAUCUCUUCAAAAUGUCCAAGGUAUACUUUCCUUGGUUUAGUAUAAUGUUUUCAGAAGUUUGCCAUAUUUCCAAACCUAGGAAGUAAUGAAGGAGUCCCAAGUCCUUCAUAUCAAAUUCUUUAGAUAAAUCUUUCUUGCAUUGAUCUAUGAGGUGAUCUUCUCCUGUGAUUAGUAAGUCAUCAACAUAUAGAAUCAAUAUUAGCAUAUCACCUUUAUUUUGUUUGUAGCAGAGAUUUGGAUCUGCAUCAUUUUUAGAGAAGCCUAGUUUAGAGAGAUAGGUGUCAAUUUUUUCAUACCAGGCUCUGGGAGCCUGUUUAAGUCCAUAGAGAGCUUUCUUGAGUCUGCACACAUGAGACUCUGCACUCUGAAUUUCAAAUCCUUCAGGUUGCUCUAGGUAGACUUCUUCUGAGAUCUCACCAUUAAGAAAUGUUGUCUUAACAUCCAUCUGGUGCACCUUCCACCCUUUUGUUGCUGCUAUGGCUAGUAUUGUUCUUACUGAGGUAUAUCUGGCUACAGGUGCAAAGUUUUCUUCAUAAUCUAUCCCUUCCCUUUGAGAGAACCCUCUAGCUACAAAUCUGGCCUUGUGCUUUUCAAUACUACCAUCUGCAGCAUGUUUGAUUUUAAAAAGCCAUUUAGAUGAAACAACAGAUUUCUUAGUAGGCCUAGGAACGAUCUCCCAAACAUCAUUCUUCAUAAUGGACUGAUACUCUUCAGACAUGACAUCCUUCCAUACUUGAUGUUUAAGUGCAUCUAAUACAUUGUUUGGUUCAGCUUUAGAGAGAUCAUUCAUAAGAGCAACAUAGCUAGUGAAUUUAUUAGGUCUUUUGCUUUCCCUGAAGGUUCCUAAAGGAGCAGUAAACUUCUAAGCUUCUGCAACAGUGUUGGUGGCCCAUAGUGGCCUUUUCUUGAGGUUUUCUCUAGGUGGGUUUGGAGUUUCACCUAUAGUUUCCUCAAGAUUCUCCCUCUGAAGCUCAGGAGUAGGAUCUUCUUCUAUGUUAGGAGUGGGGAUAUAGAUUUCAAGCUCUAUUGUAUUUAGGGCUCUUUUGAAGGCUAAAUCUUCUUCAAAGAUUACAUCCCUACUAAGUUCAAUAUUUCUCUGACCAUGUAUAUAUAUUCUAUAGGCCUUGGAUGUUUCACUAUAUCCUACAAGUAUUCCCCUUUUUCUAGAAGGUUCUAGUUUUAGUCUUUUCUCUUUAGGUACAUGUAUAUAGAUAGGACACCCAAACAUCCUAAGGUGGUUGAUAUCUGGCUUUAGUUUGGUAAAUACUUUCUCAGGAGUUUUAUCUUCAAGAUGUGAGUGAGGACAUUUGUUUUGUAUAUACAUAGCAGUGUUAGUUGCUUCUGCCCAAAGAUUGAUAUUUAGAUUUUGAUCAAGAAUCAUGGCUUUGGUAGCUUCUACAAUUGUCCUAUUUUUCCUUUCAGCUACCCCAUUUUGUUGAGGAUUAUAAGGUAUUGUUAGCUCCCUCUUAAUCCCUGAGUUUUUACAAAAAUCUUUAAAUAAUUCUGAUGUGUAUUCCCCCCCAUUAUCAGUCCUUAGGAUUUUAAUUUUAUUUCCUGAGUAGUUCUCUGUUAGUGAUUUAAACUCUUUAAACCUACUAAGGAUCUCUUCUGAUUCUUUACACUUUAGAAAGUAGAUCCAAGUUUUCCUAGAGUAGUCAUCAACAAAUAUUACAUAAUACAAACAUCCUCCUAGAGAGGGUACGGACAUGGAUCCACAUACAUCAGAAUGAACUAACUCUAAAACUUUGCUUGUCUUCCUAGUACUAUUAUGGAAGGCACCCUUGAUAUUUUUACCUAGGGCACAUCCCUUGCAUGCCUUUGAAUGAUAUUGCUGCAACUUAGGUAAACUUGUGACAAGGUUUUCCAUAGAUGAUAAAGCUCUAUAAUUCAAGUGGACUAGUCUUCUAUGCCAGACUUCAUUUGCAUUUGUUGCUUCAUGAAUUAGGGCUAGGUUGGGCUCUGUGCACAACUCAUACAGAUAGCCUUGUCUUUGACCAAUGGCUUUAGCUUUCUUGAUGGAAGAAUUUUUUGGCCAAGCCAACACGUUGUUCUCCAUGAAGGUUACUUUGUAUCCGUUAUCUUCUAGGGCUGAUAUGGAGACUAGAUUUCUCUUGAUACCGGGGAUAUAUAGUACUCCUUCGAGUUGCAAUGAUAUGCCUGUCUUCAGUUUGAUGGUGCAGGAACCAAUUCCUCUAACUGGAUGUGAGGAAUCAUCUCCGAUAGUUACUUCCUCAUCAUUCUCCUCUGUCAUGGAGUCUAGCACUUCUCUAAACCCUGUAAUGUGUCUGGAUGAGCCAUUGUCGAUCACCCAAGAGUUAGACUUAUUUGAUGCAUGGCUUGUAAGUGCUGAGUAGAGGACAUAGUUCUGGGAGUCAUCUUCUCUUUUAGAUUUUCCUGCUUUGGCAAAUGUGGCUUGUUUGGCUCUCUCUGGACAUUUUGCAACAAAGUGCCUGAACUUGUCGCACCUAUAGCAUUGAAUAUGUGAUAGGUUUCUCUUUGAAGUGUUCUUGCCUUGAUGACCCUUCCUCUUCCUAAAUUGCUUCUUCUUGGUUGUCUUAUUUGUGUUAGUAUUUAGAACUUGAAGGUCUUCGUCUAUGUUCUUUUGUUUUAUUCCCAUCUUGUUCAAUCUUGAUUCUUCUUGGAGACAAUCAUCCCUUAAUCUUUCAAACUUAGGAUAUUUGGACCUUGCAUUGAUGCCUUGGACGAAUGUACUCCAUCCACUAGGCAACCCAUCUAGAGCAAUGAGUGUUAACUCUUUGCUUUGGAUCUCAUAAUCCAAAGUUGCUAGUUCAUCUCUUAGAAUUGAUAUCCGCAUAAAGUAGGCAUUGAUUGUCUCCCCCUUGUUCAUGGUGAUAUGAUUUAUUUCUCGUUUUAAUGCCAGAGUUCGACUUGCAUUUGAUAUCUCAAAUGUACUUUCAAGUGCUUUGAACAUUUUAUAGGUUGUCUGAUGUUUUCUUAUGAUGGGCAUUAUGUUGUUUCUCACCCCAUCAACUAUUAUUUUAAUAGCCUUUUCAUUUCCCUCAAUCCAUGCUGUUUUGUCAGGUUCAUUUUCAGGUUGAUCAUUUUUAGUUUGAACAAAUGAAUCCACUUUGUUCUCCUUUAAGAUCAUUUGGAUUCUGAACUUCCAGGCUGAAAAAUCAUCGCCACCUCCGAGUCUGUCUUCGAAUCUGAUAGCGCUGGCCAUUGGAGAAAUGUGAUGUAGUAUAUAACCUUGUUCUUAAAUUAUUCACAAAAUUAAAUAGCCUCAGGUUUGAUCAACUUGGCUCUGAUACCAUGUAAAAGUAUAAACAAUUUUCAAUUUGAAAAGAAGUUAUAUAUGAAAUACAAUAUAGUGUAUUUAUUUCUUUUAUUCACAAUGUAAUAUGUCUGAUUGUUAUUUCCUGCAGAUGGAGAGAGAACAUUAAUUAAUUCCGAUGUCCUUCUCCAAGCAAAUGAAUUGGGUUAUAUAAGAUAAUGGGGAAGACCAAGAGUUGCCUUGGUUGGUUAUGUCCUUUGGACAUAACCGAUCAAGAUAACCCUUGAUCGCAUCCUAUCAUUACCCAACCGACAUGAUGCUAAUUAACCCGAUAUAAAUCGGUGCCUUUACGUGAUUCAUAUUAACCGAUUGUUAUCGGUGUAAAUGCAUAACCCGAUAAUAUGUAUCGGUAACUAAGGCAUCCUUAACCGAUUCCCAAUCGGUGGCAGUUAAACAAGCCCGAUAUAUUAAUUGGUGCAUUACUAAUCACAUCCAAUAAUAUACCGGUGGCAUCUUUAUUAAGUGCAAAUAGAUAGUUAUGAAGGAGUUUGAUAGAUCAUGAUAUAUCAAUAUAUAUUAAUAUACAUAUGAAGUAAUUAUUAUUACUUCAUAUAUAUAUUCAUACAUAUUCAUACAUCUUCAAGAUCGAACAUAUAUAUAUAUCUGCAUUAAUGCUAUCUGAUGAAAAGGGGUUUGUAUCAGUUUUAUCUGACCGAUGCUAUUUGUUUCAACACAAACAAUUAUAUAAAGAUCACCAAACAUUGAAAUACUUGGUUUACAACCUAGUUCUUCAUGUGCACAUUUGUAGGUGGCUACUCCAAUUUCUAGAUAUUUAAGUAUAGUAGUAAAGCUAGGGAAACAUCAUGCAAGACAGGGUAAUCUGUCUUGAAUUGACACCAAAAAAAACUCAAUCUAUUGUCUACAGGAGGAUUUGUUGAAUCCACAACUUUUUUGAGUGGAGGCAGUACUUGAGGGUAGAGAAAAUUAUUGUAGCAAGGAGUAUGCUGAAACAUCUUAAAAAUGCAUAAAAAGAUUAAUCGCCUGAGUGUAGACUUGGUUGAUAAAUAGGCAUCUAUGCAAGAUGAGCGUUGAUGAAGUUUUAUGUUGAUGUAUACUAGACCAUGAGCUUGAAGACAUUACUUGAGUGUCAUGAAGGUAUAAUAGUCAUAGGGCACAAUAAAGGAAAGUUUGUUUCUUUGAAAGUGUUGAAAGCAAUACCUUGGUGGCCAACCUAUUUGUAUGCACAUUCAUUUGAUUGAGAACCCUGAUCACAUGUUGAUCCCUGUGUUAUCAGAAGAGCCAUUUGAAAAGUGAUCAAUUGAUUUUGGAGGUCCUAUAAUACUGCCAACAAGAAAGCAUGGAAUGAGAUGUAUCGUUGUUGUAGCAAAUUAUAUAGUGCACUAGGUGGAAGCUGCACCUACUUAACACUGUACCACAAAUACUGCUCUGUGUUUAUUUAUGAAAACAUUAUUAUCAAGACUGGAUGCCCAUUGUCACGUCCCCUCUCCUUUGCUGACUAUAACACUAUUAUUAAUGUUAAAAGUGUUUCUUAACACUAAAUUAUAUAUAUAUAUAUAUAUGCCCAGGGAUAGGACAUAUGAGUCCUAUAUAAGGAAGGUACAAAUGCAGGUUUGAGGAUUCAUUUUGAGUGCCUGAUUUCAGAUAUGCUGUUGAUGUUUUGAGUUUUAAGAUUCCAAGCCAGCAAGGGUGAACAUUGAAAACUCUUGAAGGCAACUGAGAGUUGCAGGUUGGAUGAAUUGAAGAUUACCAUAAAACCCUAGGUUGCCAUUUCUCUGAAGUUGAAGCUGAAUUGAAGUGAGAUUCGAGUGUUAAUCGCAGAGCAUAUUGGAGGCUAUGAUCCUGCAUCUAGGAAUUGUGCCAUCACUGGGAAACAUCCACCUUUGCUGGCUGCCUCAUUCUGGACAGUCAACCAGCCCAGUCGCUAGUUUCUGAAAUGUUGUCAUCACUAUAAUCCACUUGGUUUUUGGGAAGCUUAACCUACAGAUCCAAAGGGCAAAACCCCAAUCUAUCUGCCUGAUUGUAGGAGUUGCACAGGCAGCCACGCAUUCCUGGACCACAAGCAUUCAUCGCUCGGUCAUUAUGAGAUGCAGUAGGUCCCAUUCAUCCUUUUGGGCAGGUCCAGCUGAAUGAUCUAAGUGUGAGCUUCCCACCUGAAGCACCACCUGAGGCGCAACACAUAAGCCAGUCAUUAACUGACAGAUCCACAAGGACACCUCCCAG